UUUGAUCCUUGGCUCAGAGUGAACGCUGGCGGCGUGCUUAACACCUUUUUGGCGAACGGUAACAGGAAGAAGCUUGCUUCUUUGCUGACGAGUGGCGCACGGGUGAGUGAUGUAUAGCUAACAUGCCCUAUAGAGGGGGAUAGCCACUGGAAACGGUGAUUAAUACCCCAUACUCCUUCUUUAUUAAUUAAAGAUGGGAAAGUUUUUCGCUAUAGGAUUGGGCUAUAUUGUAUCCCUUAGUUGGUGGGGUAAUGGCCUACCAAGACGAUGACGCAUAGCGGGUCUGAGAGGAUGAUCCGCCACACUGGAACUGAGACACGGUCCAGACUCCUAUGGGAGGCAGCAGUGGGGAAUAUUGCACAAUGGAGGAAACUCUGAUGCAGCAACGCCGCGUGGAGGAUGACGCAUUUCGGUGUGUAAACUCCUUUUAUAUGGGAAGGUAAUGACGGUACCAUAUGAAUAAGCACCGGCUAACUCCGUGCCAGCAGCCUCGGUUAAUACGGAGGGUGCAAGCGUUACUCGGAAUCACUGGGCGUAAAGCGCGCGCAGGCGGCUUAAUAAGCUAGAAGUGAAAUCCUACAGCUCAACUGUAGAACUCUUUCUAAAACCUGUUAAGCUAGAGUCUGGGAGGGGAAGAUGGAAUUAGUUGUGUAGGGGUAAAAUCCGUAGAGGAUAACUAGGAUACCAAAAGCGAAGGCGAUCUUCUGGAACAGUACUGACGCUGAGGCGCGAAAGCGUGGGGAGCAAACAGGAUUAGAUACCCUGGUAGUCCACGCCCUAAACGAUGAAUGUUAGUCGUUGGUUCUCUAGUAGAAUCAGUGAUGCAGUUAACACAUUAAACAUUCCGCCUGGGGAGUACGGUCGCAAGAUUAAAACUCAAAGGAAUAGACGGGGACCCGCACAAGUGGUGGAGCAUGUGGUUUAAUUCGAAGAUACGCGAAGAACCUUACCUGGUCUUGACAUAUACCAGAACCUGCUAGAGAUAGCGGGGUGCCCUUAUGGGAGCUGGUAUACAGGUGCUGCACGGCUGUCGUCAGCUCGUGUCGUGAGAUGUUGGGUUAAGUCCCGCAACGAGCGCAACCCUCGUGACUAGUUACUAACGAUUCGGUCGAGGACUCUAGUCAGACUGCCUUCGUAAGGAGGAGGAAGGUGAGGACGACGUCAAGUCAUCAUGGCCCUUACGGCCAGGGCAACACACGUGCUACAAUGGGGUGUACAAUGAGAAGCGAUACCGCGAGGUGGAGCAAAUCUAUAAAACAUCUCUCAGUUCGGAUUGUAGUCUGCAACUCGACUACAUGAAGCUGGAAUCACUAGUAAUCGUAGAUCAGCUAUGCUACGGUGAAUACGUUCCCGGGUCUUGUACUCACCGCCCGUCACACCAUGGGAGUUGAUUUCACCCGAAGCGGGGAAGCUAAACAGGCUACCCUCCACGGUGGGAUCAGCGACUGGGGUGAAGUCGUAACAAGGUA
rnacentral:rRNA from 1 species